GACGGAGGGUGCGAGCGUUAUUCGGAAUUAUUGGGCGUAAAGAGUGUGUAGGCGGCCGGUUAAGUCAGGCGUGAAAGCCCAGGGCUCAACCCUGGAAGUGCGUUUGAAACUGGCUGGCUUGAGUUCAGGAGAGGGAAGCGGAAUUCCUGGUGUAGAGGUGAAAUUCGUAGAUAUCAGGAGGAACAUCGGUGGCGAAGGCGGCUUCCUGGACCGAAACUGACGCUGAGAAACGAAAGCGUGGGGAGCAAACAGG
rnacentral:rRNA from 1 species